rnacentral:lncRNA from 1 species
UCUCAUCUCCCUUCCCCCUCCUUCUCUGAAGAACCCUAAAAUUGCCUCCUCCCAAAUUCUUCUCGUAAUCCAACCAAAUAUGGGAUUUGAUCUUAAUUUAUUACCAUACUCGACCCAUUUUUGGUACUGGCUAUUAUACUAAAUUGAUUGCCUAAACAUGACAAGAAAAUCUCUUCAAAAUCUAACCAAAAUUGGUUCAAAUCUCUUAUAUUCGAUAUUAUUCUGUCAAUAUUCGUAUUAUUCUACUAUGAGUCUGAUUUUGUUUAUAUUCUGUUGAUAUUUACUUUCCCUAAAAAACUAGGAUUUAUA